GUAGGUUACAUUAUUAGGUCACACACUGGUCGGUGUCGUGUGGACAAGUCGAUAAAGGGUAGGCGUGUAUCACACGUUAGUAGCGGCCAUUAUACCUCUCUGUUAUGUUUAUUUUGUUUACAUUGUCCCAUUAUUCCCGCUUAUGAUCCGCUCGCCUGCUAUGCUAUUGCCUCGUUAAAAAUAGCUGUUUUCAGUAAUUGUGUCGCGUUAAUGUAAAAUACAAUAAGAACAAAGGCAGCUAACGUUUAUCAAUUUAUAAUUACUUGGUUAGAAAAUCAUCUCUUUUUAGUGGUGUAGCUUUGUACAAUGUACAUUGUGAAGGGUAAAAUAACCAAAGUAUCCGGGUCCGCCGGGUUACAAAGGAGGGACCAUUGUCAAUUAGUGAGAUGUUUUUACUAACGGUUUUUUUACAUAAGUAUUUUGUAUAAUGUUCUAAGAAACAAAAGUUGCUCCUCUGUCAAAAAUGUCUACAUGCCUGUCAAUCAAAAGUACGAGAGCAUGUCGGUACUUUAUAGGUACCUGCAAACAGCGAAGCCAAAGAAAAUUCCUACUUAGAAAGUGGGUCGGUAGUUUUGCUGUCUGCCUCGUGAAGGACGAUCCUGAACACCUACGGAUUGCAUGCCUCUUGUGGAAACAUUUUUUAAAACUGACAUUUCAAAAUGGUUGAAACAAUUUCACCUCGUCAAAAAUACCGUUUUAAACCUACAGUAGAAAUUUUCCAUUUAAGUACGCUUUUCAUAAAGUCUUUUACAUAAAAGAUGUCUGCUUUUGCAAUGGUUUUUUUGUUAACUUUAAACCGUGAGCCAAAAUGAAACUCGUAUAUUGUAAUAUUUUUUGCCAAAUAAAUGUUGGAACUGCAA